AAGACUAUAGACCUGCGGAGUACCUGCGGAAGGAUCAUUACCGAGUUUACAACUCCCAAACCCCAUGUGAACGUUACCAAACUGUUGCCUCGGCGGGAUCUCUGCCCCGGGCGCGUCGCAGCCCCGGACCAAGGCGCCCGCCGGAGGACCAAACCAAAACCCUUACUGUAUACCCCCUCGCGGGUUUUUUUGCUAUCUGAGCCUUCUCGGCGCCCCCUCGUGGGCGUUCCGAAAACCAAU
rnacentral:misc_RNA from 1 species